rnacentral:rRNA from 1 species
UUCGUCACACUAUCAUUAACUGAAUCCAUAGGUUAAUGAGGCGAACCGGGGGAACUGAAACAUCUAAGUACCCCGAGGAAAAGAAAUCAACCGAGAUUCCCCCAGUAGCGGCGAGCGAACGGGGAGCAGCCCAGAGCCUGAAUCAGUGUGUGUGUUAGUGGAAGCGUCUGGAAAGGCGCGCGAUACAGGGUGACAGCCCCGUACACAAAAAUGCACAUACUGUGAGCUCGAUGAGUAGGGCGGGACACGUGGUAUCCUGUCUGAAUAUGGGGGGACCAUCCUCCAAGGCUAAAUACUCCUGACUGACCGAUAGUGAACCAGUACCGUGAGGGAAAGGCGAAAAGAACCCCGGCGAGGGGAGUGAAAAAGAACCUGAAACCGUGUACGUACAAGCAGUGGGAGCCUCUUAAUGGGGUGACUGCGUACCUUUUGUAUAAUGGGUCAGCGACUUAUAUUCUGUAGCAAGGUUAACCGAAUAGGGGAGCCGAAGGGAAACCGAGUCUUAACUGGGCGUUAAGUUGCAGGGUAUAGACCCGAAACCCGGUGAUCUAGCCAUGGGCAGGUUGAAGGUUGGGUAACACUAACUGGAGGACCGAACCGACUAAUGUUGAAAAAUUAGCGGAUGACUUGUGGCUGGGGGUGAAAGGCCAAUCAAACCGGGAGAUAGCUGGUUCUCCCCGAAAGCUAUUUAGGUAGCGCCUCGUGAAUUCAUCUCCGGGGGUAGAGCACUGUUUCGGCAAGGGGGUCAUCCCGACUUACCAACCCGAUGCAAACUGCGAAUACCGGAGAAUGUUAUCACGGGAGACACACGGCGGGUGCUAACGUCCGUCGUGAAGAGGGAAACAACCCAGACCGCCAGCUAAGGUCCCAAAGUCAUGGUUAAGU